rnacentral:misc_RNA from 1 species
ACUUCACCAAAUCUUGUUUUUCUUAUUUCUAUAUCUUCCUCAAGGUGAGUAGGCAAGUUUUAAUGAAGGAUCCAAGUGGAAAUGAUGGCUUGAUGAUGGAGAGAGGAAGCUUAAUGCAUGGGCGGCCAUGGAGGUUUUGGUUGGGAUAUUCAUUUCGGCAAGAUGAAGUUUGAUGAAGAAGAAGAUGAUAACGAGUGGAUUUUUCUGUCCCAAGGUCCCAUAUGUCUCGCUAAUUAGGAGUUAGUGGAGCACUAAACUCAUUUUUAAUGUUUAAGUAUUCAAAGUUUCCUAAUUUGCACAUUUAUCUUAAUUCUUUCACUAUUUACAUAAUGCAUCUCAUUUUAAUUUUUCAUGACAUUUUCAAAGUGUAAUAUCAUUUAUUUUUAA